CGAACGCUGGCGGCACGCCUAACACAUGCAAGUCGAACGCGAAAGUUCUCUUCGGAGAGCGAGUAGAGUGGCGGACGGGUGAGUAGAACGUGGGUAACGUACCCCUAAGCGGGGAAUAACUAUUGGAAACGAUAGCUAAUACCGCAUAAUAUCUUCUCUACUUAAGUAGUAAAGAUCAAAGGAGGCCUCUGAUUCAAGCUUUCACUUAGGGAUCGGCCCGCGCCCCAUUAGUUAGUUGGUGAGGUAAUGGCUCACCAAGACCGCGAUGGGUAGCCGACCUGAGAGGGUGAUCGGCCACACUGGGACUGAGACACGGCCCAGACUCCUACGGGAGGCAGCAGUGAGGAAUUUUCCGCAAUGGACGAAAGUCUGACGGAGCGAUGCCGCGUGCGCGAUGAAGGCCCUAGGGUCGUAAAGCGCUGUCGGAGAGGAUUAAAAGUAAACGGUUAAUACCCGUUUGCCCUGACGGUACUCUCCAAGGAAGCCCCGGCUAACUCC
rnacentral:rRNA from 1 species